UCGGGAAUUUUGGGCAAUGGGCGCAAGCCUGAUCCAGCCAUGCCGCGUGCAGGAUGACGGUCCUAUGGAUUGUAAACUGCUUUUUGUACAGGAAGAAACAGUUCUACGUGUAGAACCUUGACGGUACUGUAAGAAUAAGGAUCGGCUAACUCCGUGCCAGCAGCCGCGGUAAUACGGAGGAUCCAAGCGUUAUCCGGAAUCAUUGGGUUUAAAGGGUCCGUAGGCGGUUAGAUAAGUCAGUGGUGAAAGCCCAUCGCUCAACGGUGGAACGGCCAUUGAUACUGUCUGACUUGAAUUAUUAGGAAGUAACUAGAAUAUGUAGUGUAGCGGUGAAAUGCUUAGAGAUUACAUGGAAUACCAAUUGCGAAGGCAGGUUACUACUAAUGGAUUGACGCUGAUGGACGAAAGCGUGGGUAGCGAACAGGAUUAGAUACCCGCGUAGUCCCUGAGCGGGCUGGCAAGGCGCAU
rnacentral:rRNA from 1 species